rnacentral:rRNA from 1 species
GUCUAUAGUCAUGCCACCCUGAACAAACCGAAUGUCUGAUCUUGGAAGCUAAGCAGGGUCGGGCCUGGUUAGUACUUGAAUGGGAGACCACCUAGGAAGACCAGGUGCUGUAGGCA